rnacentral:rRNA from 1 species
AACGAACGCUGGCGGCAUGCCUAACACAUGCAAGUCGAACGAGACCUUCGGGUCUAGUGGCGCACGGGUGCGUAACGCGAGGGAACCUGCCCUUAGGUUCGGCAUAACCCCCCGAAAGGGGUGCUAAUACCGGAUAAUGUCUUCGGACCAAUGAUUUAUCGCACUUGGAUGGGUCCGCGUUGGAUUAGCUAGUUGGUAGGGUAAAAGCCUACCACGGCGACGAUCCAUAGCUGGUCUGAGAGGAUGAUCAGCCACACUGGGAGUGAGACACGGCCCAGACUCCUACGGGAGGGAGCAGAGGGGGAUGGAGGACAAUGGGCGGAGGCAUGAACCAGCAAGGCCGGGAGAGUGAUGAAGGCAGUAGGGAUGUAAAGCUCGUGUACCCGGGAGGAUAAUGACAGUACCGGGAGAAUAAGCUACGGCUAACUCCGUG